UUCCCCCUGCGAUGUUGGUGACUAGUAGUAUUUUUGAGCCAACAUUGUCGGCCUAGGGGGUCGCCAGGGCUCUGGUGAGCAUGGCUCUGCCUAAAGCGGAGAAAGCCUGAAAGAGUAGUGAGCGACGCCCACUUAAGAUUAGGUUCGAUAAAUCUACUAGCACGGCAUUGGGGCGGGGGGAUU
rnacentral:other from 1 species